GGGAUAACUGAUGGAAACGUCAGCUAAGACCGCAUAGGUGUAGAGAUCGCAUGAACUCUAUAUGAAAAGUGCUACGGGACUGGUAGAUGAUGGACUUAUGGCGCAUUAGCUGGUUGGUAGGGUAACGGCCUACCAAGGCGACGAUGCGUAGCCGACCUGAGAGGGUGACCGGCCACACUGGGACUGAGACACGGCCCAGACUCCUACGGGAGGUAGCAGUAGGGAAUUUUCGGCAAUGGGGGAAACCCUGACCGAGCAACGCCGCGUGAAGGAAGAAGUAAUUCGUUAUGUAAACUUCUGUCAUAGAGGAAGAACGGUGGAUAUAGGGAAUGAUAUCCAAGUGACGGUACUCUAUAAGAAAGCCACGGCUAACUACGUGCCAGCAGCCGCGGUAAUACGUAGGUGGCGAGCGUUAUCCGGAAUUAUUGGGCGUAAAGAGGGAGCAGGCGGCACUAAGGGUCUGUGGUGAAAGAUCGAAGCUUAACUUCGGUAAGCCAUGGAAACCGUAGAGCUAGAGUGUGUGAGAGGAUCGUGGAAUUCCAUGUGUAGCGGUGAAAUGCGUAGAUAUAUGGAGGAACACCAGUGGCGAAGGCGACGAUCUGGCGCAUAACUGACGCUCAGUCCCGAAAGCGUGGGGAGCAAAUAGGAUUAGAUACCCUAGUAGUCCACGCCGUAAACGAUGAGUACUAAGUGUUGGGAGUCAAAUCUCAGUGCUGCAG
rnacentral:rRNA from 1 species